UUUUAAAAUUCGGUUGUUCUCAGGGCAUCUGUUUUCAGGAGUAGCUAUUUCUAGGUGUCUUCAUUCCUGGAUGUAGCGAUUUGGUGGGGCAGCUUUUCCAGGGAUAACCAGGUUCUCCCCAGGUGCUGAAGACGCGGCUGACCUUGCGCCGGACGGGCCAGUAUAAGGGGCUGCUGGACUGUGCCAGGCGGAUCCUGGAGAGGGAGGGGCCCCGUGCCUUCUACCGCGGCUACCUGCCCAACGUGCUGGGCAUCAUCCCCUAUGCGGGCAUCGACCUGGCCGUCUAUGAGACUCUGAAGAACUGGUGGCUUCAGCAGUACAGCCACGACUCGGCAGACCCAGGCAUCCUCGUGCUCCUGGCCUGCGGUACCAUAUCCAGCACCUGCGGCCAGAUAGCCAGUUACCCCCUGGCCCUGGUCCGGACCCGCAUGCAGGCACAAGCCUCCAUCGAGGGUGGCCCCCAGCUGUCCAUGCUGGGUCUGCUACGUCACAUCCUGUCCCAGGAGGGCAUGCGGGGCCUCUACCGGGGGAUCGCCCCCAACUUCAUGAAGGUUAUUCCAGCUGUGAGCAUCUCCUAUGUGGUCUACGAGAACAUGAAGCAGGCCUUGGGGGUCACGUCCAGGUGAGGGACCCGGAGCCCGUCCCCCCGAUCCCUCACCCCCCACACCUCA
rnacentral:sRNA from 1 species